CCCCCCGGAGAUGUACUCUAUACAAGCGGGGAACUACAAGCAAGAGCCGUCUCAUUCCGCCGCUCCCUCCCCACAUUUUAUCUUUGCUGUAACCCCCCCCCCCCCCCCCCCUGAGGCUCGCUGUUCAUGUUCUGCCGCUCCCUUUAAGGCCCCCCCUUUCUAUAUGUCCUCUCUCAUUCCUCUUCCUGUUCCUUUCUUGCUGUAUCAAGUCUCUCAAGCCUGAGUCCCUUCUUUAAAUAAGGGGCCACGUUCUCAGGUCUGUCAUGCGCCCCCCCCCCCCCCCCCACCCUUUCUCUGAGUGCCACAAUCCUUUGACAGCAUCAGCAUUGCACUGCAGUGUUUCACAGGUGGUUGAAUACAUGAAUACGUUGUACUUUGAUCUAGCCUUUACUCCAGGAGUUUUUCCAUUAAAUGUCGACGCGUAUUCCCACUACAAUCACAUUAUUGGUAACUAAAAUGCCAAAAGGAAAGUUCUACCACAAAAGUGACUGUUUUUUUUGUGUAAGUUCUACGUAACAAAGUCCCCUCGCUGCCUCCAGGUGGCGCUCCAAACAAACCCACCCAUGUCCCCAUACUGUAAUAUAUAUAUAUAUAUACAUAUAUAUAUAUAUAUUCUUUUCUUGCAUAUCAAUCGAACACCAUUUCAGACAAUUUAAAGAAGUUGAAUGUAUGCACACUGCUCCUCGGUUUUUCAUGAGAAGCGGCCUUGAACCGAUGGAAGCGCCCGCUGAAUACGUUUUCACAUAGCUGGAUAUUAGUGGAGUAAUGUUUUGACUAUCGGGAGGUCACAUGAGCUGCUUUUGAGGGACGCUCUUUGCCGUCUGUGUUCAUAGCAACAAAAGAAAAUGUGCUUGGACGUCGUGUUUGGCUCGUUGGACUCUCAUCAAGUGAAUUUUCUUUUUUCCUAUGCAAGGGGCGAGAGGACGGUAAUUAUUGUUCUCCCCUUUCUGCUGUUCAUUUUGUGAACCCCCCCCCACCCCCCCGUACAAUGUCCCAGCUUCCGGAACCCUUCGGUGUGAGACUUGUCUUUCGCUGGAUUUAGUGUUCGGUGACGUCGCUGCACCGACCUCCUCCUGCCGUAGAAAUGCUGGAUGAGUGAUGACCGCAUGUAUCGCAUCCACACCUCAGUCCAGAUGUUUGGCUUCUCUGUAGAACCAGCGGUGGUUUCCAGGUUGUUCUGCGGCCUGUCGCCGGUUCGUGUCUCUGUGCAGGCAGUGUAAAUAAUUUGCUUGUGUAUCAGAUUUUACUUCUUGACAAAAUAGGGUUCUUUUUUCUUUUUUUUUUUCUUUUUUUAAUCUCAAGAGCUUGAGGAACUGUAUUAAAUGUAGAUAUGUUGAUAACAUAAAGGCCUGGUUCAGUUUUCAUUUGUCCCCAUUAAACCGUGAACUUUGA